CAUUACUGAGUUUACGCUCUACAACCCUUUGUGAACAUACCUACAACUGUUGCUUCGGCGGGUAGGGUCUCCGCGACCCUCCCGGCCUCCCGCCUCCGGGCGGGUCGGCGCCCGCCGGAGGAUAACCAAACUCUGAUUUAACGACGUUUCUUCUGAGUGGUACAAGCAAAUAAUCAAAACUUUUAACAACGGAUCUCUUGGUUCUGGCAUCGAUGAAGAACGCAGCGAAAUGCGAUAAGUAAUGUGAAUUGCAGAAUUCAGUGAAUCAUCGAAUCUUUGAACGCACAUUGCGCCCGCCAGCAUUCUGGCGGGCAUGCCUGUUCGAGCGUCAUUUCAACCCUCAAGCUCUGCUUGGUGUUGGGGCCCUACAGCCGAUGUAGGCCCUCAAAGGUAGUGGCGGACCCUCCCGGAGCCUCCUUUGCGUAGUAACUUUACGUCUCGCACUGGGAUCCGGAGGGACUCUUGCCGUAAAACCCCCCAAUUUUCCAAAGGUUGACCUCGGAUCAGGUAGGAAUACCCGCUGAACUUAAGCAUAUCAAUAAAG
rnacentral:rRNA from 1 species